rnacentral:rRNA from 1 species
UACGGAGGGUGCAAGCGUUAUCCGGAUUCACUGGGUUUAAAGGGUGCGUAGGUGGAGUGGUAAGUCAGUGGUGAAAUCUCCAAGCUUAACUUGGAAACUGCCAUUGAUACUAUCUGUCUUGAAUACCGUGGAGGUGAGCGGAAUAUGUCAUGUAGCGGUGAAAUGCUUAGAUAUGACAUAGAACACCAAUUGCGAAGGCAGCUCACUACACGAAUAUUGACACUGAGGCACGAAAGCGUGGGGAUCAAACAGG